rnacentral:rRNA from 1 species
AUAGGUGAGGUGAGCACGCGACGAGUUUCCUUUAGGGGUUAGGGUGAGUGGAGGGAGGAAGUGAGGGUGCGGCGGCGGCGGCGGCGGCUACGGAGGAGGAACCGCUGCCGCUGCCGCCGCGGGCGCUGGCGCCAGAAGAGGUGGUGGGUGGUACCGACGUCGAGGUGGGUGCCGGCCAGCAGAUACGACGUUCGCACCUACCUACCUAGGAAGGAUCCACCUCCACCUCGUCCGACGUCUAGGGCAGACCGGGAGACGUCGCCCGGUAGCCUACAGCGCGGUGGCCCGAUAAACACCCCUAGUGCAGCAGUGGUUCGUGCUCGAGGGCGGGGUAGGCGGCCUGGCGUUUCCCGAAGUCCCUCCUCUGCCACCUUUGUUUUGACGGGAGGGGAGGAGAGGAGGAGGAGUUCGUACCACCUACUUCUGGAGGAGAGGAGAGGAGAGGUCGAGACUCCUACUGCUCGACGAAGGAUGAGGCGAGUAUCGGUUGGUCGGCAUGCAGCAGUCGAUGGGGGUUUAGGCUCAACCUGUACGUAGUGAAAAACGAACCGUACACUUUUGACUUUGCAUAAACGAACAUGCCUAUUAGCGACUACGUCAAGUCAAGGGAUUUUUACAUCUGGACCUACGUCUAACCCGCACACAUUAGUCCAAAUGGUACGUCUAAAGCAUGGACGUUACGUUUGGAUUGAUCAUCUUUGAGUAGGACGUAAACUCAACUCGGGGAGAAGAGAGGUCGAAAGAAUGACGUGAACGAUCGAAGAGCAAGACUAUACCUAAUGUCGAAACUUAGGUCUAAUCCGCACACACAACUCUUGAACAUUCCUACGUCUAAAGCACGGACGUUUACAUUGCUCAUCAUAGACCAGGGCUUAAACUCUUGAAUAAUAGAGGUCGAACGGCCACGUCCAGCGGCAGUUCUACAACGGACGCGCGAGAGUACAGGUCGCAGUGGCGGUAGUAGUACUACGUCUUGUCCCCCGUGUUCUAGCUGUUGUAGACAGGGUACCUGGUCUACGAGUCCAUCAUUAACGUGGAGGGGCCCAUCAUGAAAGUACAACAAUGAUAUGGAUAUGUACAGUCUUCGUAAUCAGAAAGUACAGUAUACGUGCCGGUACCGGACAACCUAUCGUAAACAUCAACAUGACGUCUGUAUACCUAUUCGUAGUGAAAAACAAACCGUAGACUUUUGACUUUGUACAAAAAUACAUUGCUAAUGAUUACUCCUAGUCACGGAUUACAUAGUUAAACUUACGUCCGAUCCGCACACAUAACUCCAAAUCCUACGUCUAAAGCACGGAGGUUUACAUUGCUCAUCUUUGAAUAGAACUUAAACUCGUGAAGAAUAGAGGAAAAACGAAUGGAACAUCAAGGCUAUACUAAAUGUGUUCUUGAAACGAAACCAUGUGGACGGUAUCUUUUCAAAUGACUAAGGUUACGUUCGAUUUUCACCUAUAAUCUUCCACGGUGAAGUUAGUUUUUCCUAUUACGCCAGAAAAUAUAGGUUUAGUCAGAUAAGCUUUGAAACUCUAUACACGUUUGAAAAUUCCCCGGACAUGACUUCAUUUUGAGAAAUGUCUUGUAACAUCAGACAUUGAACGCGUAAAGAUUAGAAUUUGACGUUUAAAUUACGUAUUGACGUUAGACUAAGAUGUCAAAUUGUACAACAAUAAUAUGGAUAUACAGUCUUCGUAAUCAGAAAGUACAGUAUGCGUGCUGCUACCUGACAACCUAUUGUAAACGUCACCAUGCAUGUCUGUACCUAUCCGUAGUGAAAAGACAAACCGCACACUUUGGACUUUGUACAAAUAAACAUUCCUAGUGACUACGCCUAGACAAGGACUACAUAGUUAAACUUACGUCUCACCCGCACACAUAACUCCACAUCUUACGUCUAAAGCACGGACAUUUAAAUUCUUCAUCUCUGACUAGGGUUUAAACUCUUGAAUAAUAGAGAUCAUACAACUACGUCCAACGAUCCCGCCGAGACUAAGUACCACGCCAGUGAGAGGCCGGUCGUGGCAACCGUCAGUUGUUGGUGUACUAAAAAAGAGAGGUUCCGUGGCAACAUAAGGCGCUCGCGCUCCAGUAGCAGGUCGAGAAAAGGUACCUCCAUCUUGGAAACCGUGAGGCAGCCCUGUGGGAGCCGGAGGACGUCCGCGAGGAACUAGGACGGCCGGGUGACACAAGCAUUGGAGUUAUAUCUCGAGCUGGCAGGAACAAGAGGACAACCGCCCGGCCGUCUACUUCAAGUCGCACCUCAGCAAGGCCUGCGGCAUCAGCCGCAGAGCCGCUCUCACACCGGUAGGAAGUCGACGAAUGGCCGCACCUACUCCGCGACGACGUGCCCUCCUGUCGGGUGGGCGAGAACCUGGGAACGGGCCUUCGAGAGCUGCCACAGUGACGAACGCUACAGAGUGCCAACAUAUGCGCCGAUUUGGCGAUUUAAUCGCGACGGUUUUAGUGAAAGGGAUCUAAUAGGAUCCGCAGCUACAUAAUAAACACUACGUAGGUUAUUUCAACUUACAAUGCAUCCCUGUUUUUACGUACGCGGUC